rnacentral:rRNA from 1 species
CAUCGCUCAACGGAUAAAAGGUACUCCGGGGAUAACAGGCUGAUACCGCCCAAGAGUUCAUAUCGACGGCGGUGUUUGGCACCUCGAUGUCGGCUCAUCACAUCCUGGGGCUGAAGUAGGUCCCAAGGGUAUGGCUGUUCGCCAUUUAAAGUGGUACGCGAGCUGGGUUUAGAACGUCGUGAGACAGUUCGGUCCCUAUCUGCCGUGGGCGCUGGAGAACUGAGGGGGGCUGCUCCUAGUACGAGAGGACCGGAGUGGACGCAUCACUGGUGUUCGGGUUGUCAUGCCAAUGGCACUGCCCGGUAGCUAAAUGCGGAAGAGAUAAGUGCUGAAAGCAUCUAAGCACGAAACUUGCCCCGAGAUGAGUUCUCCCUGACUCCUUGAGAGUCCUGAAGGAACGUUGAAGACGACGACGUUGAUAGGCCGGGUGUGUAAGCGCAGCGAUGCGUUGAGCUAACCGGUACUAAUGAACCGUGAGGCUUAACCUU